rnacentral:rRNA from 1 species
CCUACGGGAGGCAGCAGUGGGGAAUAUUGGACAAUGGGCGAAAGCCUGAUCCAGCCAUGCCGCGUAUGUGAAGAAGGUCUUCGGAUUGUAAAGCACUUUAAGUUGGGAGGAAGGGCAGUAAGCGAAUACCUUGCUGUUUUGACGUUACCGACAGAAUAAGCACCGGCUAACUCUGUGCCAGCAGCCGCGGUAAU